rnacentral:rRNA from 1 species
CCUACGGGUGGCAGCAGUGGGGAAUAUUGGGCAAUGGGCGCAAGCCUGACCCAGCAACGCCGCGUGAAGGAAGAAGGCUUUCGGGUUGUAAACUUCUUUUCUGAGGGACGAAGAAAGUGACGGUACCUCAGGAAUAAGCACCGGCUAACUACGUGCCAGCAGCCGCGGUAAUACGUAGGUGGCAAGCGUGAUCCGGAUUUAUUGGGUGUAAGGGGCGUGUAGGCGGGAAGGAAAGUCAGAUGGGAAAACUCAGGUCUCAACCCUGAACCUGCAUUUGAAACUGUUUGUCUUGAGUGCUGGAGAGGCAAUCGGAAUUCCGGGUGUAGCGGUGAAAUGCGUAGAUAUACGGAGGAACACCAGUGGCGAAGGCGGAUUGCUGGACAGUAACUGACGCUGAGGCGCGAAAGCGUGGGGAGCAAACAGGAUUAGAUACCCUAGUAGUC